GACGAACGCUGGCGGCGUGCUUAACACAUGCAAGUCGAACGGAAAGGCCCUGCUUGCCGGGUACUCGAGUGGCGAACGGGUGAGUAACACGUGGGUGAUCUGCCCUGCACUUCGGGAUAAGCUUGGGAAACUGGGUCUAAUACCGGAUAGGAGCCAUCUUUAGUGUGGUGGUUGGAAAGUUUUUUCGGUGUAGGAUGAGCUCGCGGCCUAUCAGCUUGUUGGUGGGGUAAUGGCCUACCAAGGCGGCGACGGGUAGCCGGCCUGAGAGGGUGUACGGCCACAUUGGGACUGAGAUACGGCCCAGACUCCUACGGGAGGCAGCAGUGGGGAAUAUUGCACAAUGGGCGCAAGCCUGAUGCAGCGACGCCGCGUGGGGGAUGAAGGCCUUCGGGUUGUAAACUCCUUUCGCUAGGGACGAAGCUUUUUUGUGACGGUACCUAGAUAAGAAGCACCGGCUAACUACGU
rnacentral:rRNA from 1 species